CAUCGAUGAAGAACGCAGCGAAAUGCGAUACGUAAUGUGAAUUGCAAAUUCAGUGAAUCAUCGAGUCUUUGAACGCACAUUGCGCCCCCUGGUAUUCCGGGGGGCAUGCCUGUCCGAGCGUCAUUGCUGCCCUCAAGCCCGGCUUGUGUGUUGGGCCCCGUCCUCCGAUUCCGGGGGACGGGCCCGAAAGGCAGCGGCGGCACCGCGUCCGGUCCUCGAGCGUAUGGGGCUUUGUCACCCGCUCUGUAGGCCCGGCCGGCGCUUGCCGAUCAACCCAAAUUUUUAUCCAGGUUGACCUCGGAUCAGGUAGGGAUACCCGCUGAACUUAAGCAUAUCAAUAA
rnacentral:rRNA from 1 species